UGUUCAGAGACCUCAACUUUGUUUAGAGAUCUUGUGUGGGUGGAACUUCCUGUUUGCACACAGAGCAGCAUAAAGCCCAGUUGCUUUGGGAAGUGUUUGGGACCAGAUGGAUUGUAGGGAGUAGGGUACAAUACAGUCUGGUCUCCUCCAGCUCCUUCUUUCUGCAACAUGGGGAAGAACAAACUCCUUCAUCCAAGUCUGGUUCUUCUCCUCUUGGUCCUCCUGCCCACAGAUGCCUCAGUCUCUGGAAAACCGGUCCAUUUUCUAUUUUAUAAAAAUAAAGACAAUUCUCUCCCACAACCAAACAUGGAACAAUGCCCUGGAGUAUAAAAAUCUGUAGAGUGCCAAAUAAAGGAACAAUUUGAAAUACUGGUGUUGAUACUGAAAAAGCAAGGGACUCUAAUGUCAGAAGAGAAAUCUUUUUGCAGAUGAGGUGGUGAUGAAUUCUUUGUUUCAACACAACUGAAGGAGAAACUGAAGGAAAUACCAGCUGAUGAGUGAUGAGAAGGGAUUCUUGAUAACAGAGUACUAGG
rnacentral:sRNA from 1 species